AGCCCAUAUUAAAAAUAUCAUAAAAGUACACAAGGCACACUAGAGGAGCAAAUGUUCUAUAACAGGGAGAACUUUACAAGAGAUUAUUCAAAUGAGACACGAUAACCCAACAGAUCAGGGUUUUGUUUUUACAUCAAGAGCCACAAUUGAUCGCUUCGAAAAUACUUCCUGGUGGUAGAUGUCAUGCAAUAGUUGCAACAAAAUGCGCACUAAGAUAGCCAACAAGUAUCACUGCCGUAAAUGCAAUACAUGUCCAGAAGCAAUAACACCUAGGUACUCAUACUUUCCCGAACAUUGAUUUCCAAACACCAUGUUAUUCAUUCUAACCAUGAUAAUAUAUGUAUUGGAUUCGUCUCCGAAUUA